rnacentral:rRNA from 1 species
AGAACGAACGCUGGCGGCAUGCCUAAUACAUGCAAGUCGAACGAGCACUUCGGUGUUAGUGGCGCACGGGUGCGUAACGCGUGGGAAUCUGCCCUUGGGUUCGGAAUAACAGUUGGAAACGACUGCUAAUACCGGAUGAUAUCGAAAGAUCAAAGAUUUAUCGCCCAGGGAUGAGCCCGCGUAGGAUUAGCUAGUUGGUGAGGUAAAGGCUCACCAAGGCGACGAUCCUUAGCUGGACUGAGAGGAUGAUCAGCCAGACUGGGACUGAGACACGGCCCAGACUCCGUACGGGAGGCAGCGAGUAGGGAAUAUGGACAAGUGGGCGCAAGCCUGAUCCAG